rnacentral:rRNA from 1 species
AUUGAACGCUGGCGGCAUGCCUUACACAUGCAAGUCGAACGGUAACGCGGGGCAACCUGGCGACGAGUGGCGAACGGGUGAGUAACGCAUCGGAACGUGCCCUGUAGUGGGGGAUAGCCCGGCGAAAGCCGGAUUAAUACCGCAUACGACCUACGGGUGAAAGCGGGGGACCGCAAGGCCUCCCGCUGUUGGAGCGGCCGAUGUCAGAUUAGGUAGUUGGUGGGGUAAAGGCCUACCAAGCCUGCGAUCUGUAGCUGGUCUGAGAGGACGACCAGCCACACUGGGACUGAGACACGGCCCAGACUCCUACGGGAGGCAGCAGUGGGGAAUUUUGGACAAUGGGGGAAACCCUGAUCCAGCCAUGCCGCGUGCGGGAAGAAGGCCUUCGGGUUGUAAACCGCUUUUGUCAGGGAAGAAAUCCCUCGGGCCAAUACCCUGGGGGGAUGACGGUACCUGAAGAAUAAGCACCGGCUAACUACGUGCCAGCCGCCGCCGUAACAC